GUUCUCAGUUGGUCAAAAAAGUGUUUCAUAGUGUUGAACGCCUGAUUCUUGUAUUUAGCGUUAAUGUCUGCUGUUAUACUGAGAUGUAGGCAGCAGUAUUGAAAGCUACCUGUUUGGAACUGACCAGAAAACCCAGCAGAACAAGAUAAGAUAAGAUAAAACUUUAUUAAUCCCGAAGGAAAUUGUUGUAAAGUAAUGUGUCAGAAGUGGGAUUCGAACCCACGCCUCCAUUCAGAGACCAGAAGUCCCGUUUCUGCGGAACGAGAUUAUCCUUGAGAACAAAUAACCUAUGCCUGUUUUAGGCUGAUUUACAAAAGACUUAACUUGUGAAAAAAUAUAUGUGACCUUUAUUACCAGAAUAAAAACAAAAUGCCAAAUGCAGUUUGUAAACUAGCAAAGGGGCCCAGGAGUAGCCUACACUAAACUUAAUUUAAUACAAAAAUCCAAUUUAAACUGAGGAUCACAUAACUGAAAGUAUUAUUUAAAAAUGAAAACAAAUACGAGCGUUAUCGAAAAUCACUACAUUUUGCAGAACAUCUUUAAGUGUGCAGUGCUGAGAAUUACGCUCCACAAACGGAGCACUUGAACGCAGCACGACAGGCGCGUCUCAGCGCACAGCUGAGUGAGAAGAAAACAGCAUGAGCUGAUGAAGUGUGCCCGCACCGCCUCACAAAUGUGGACGGAGGUGAAAAACAAGAGCCAGACUGUCAUGGGGAACGGAAACAGCUCGAAGAUGGUUGACUCAGAUCUGAGAGGACAGCUUUUACACACUGUUCAGAGGAAUGUUUCAACGGCAGCUGCGGCUCAUCCUUCAUCCACAGAGGAGUCUCUGACAAAGAGCAGCGGAAUCAUCCCCGGUACGAUUGCAGCCACGGUGUUCAUCGCCUUCUUGCUGGCUCUCUACGCUGUCCUCUGGAAGUGCAUGGUGUCACCACCACAGCGAAAGCACAGCAAAGUGAGGGUCAGAGUCCAACAGAAGACGUCUGUGUGAAGACGUCAUCCUGCACGUUUCUCUGUCGGUUCGGCAGGUCGUUUCGGACCUUCAUGGACUUAAACUCUGAGAGCAGACUCUUUGGAGAGGAUCCUUCUAAUGGAUCCACAGCUCAGAGUUGAUGUUUCCCUCAAGUGCUUUAUCUGCUGUUGACUGUGUCAUGAUGUGAAACACGGGUCAGACUGUGCUGCUUUUUUCUUCUGUCAUGUUCUAUGAAUUCUGCACUUCUGAGGGGCGCCGCAGCUUCAGGCCCCAACCCGUCUCAGUGACCAAUACGCUGCAUGUGAGAGAGAGAUUCUACUGUUUUUACUAGAUGUUUUACCAGGUACCAAGUACCAGGACUUAAUGGGCAGUUACAUUUUAAGCAUGUCUUGAUGGUAUUUCUUUAGAAUAUUUUGCAACCCCCAUUUUAAUCUACCUUUGAUUCUUAAUGUGUUUGGCAGCCAAUCAGCCUCUGCAAAAGACAGAGGAGACACAAACUGAUUCUUAUUAUAUUUUAUAUUAAAAAUCUUUAUGGUUUGAGUCACUCUUCUCAGGAUAUUGUAUCUACUGUACGGCUUCUGACUGUAACUGACUUUGGUGUGGACAGUGAUAUGAAUAAACACAAAGCUCACAUUUUAGUCA
rnacentral:lncRNA from 1 species